GAGAGGGCGGGUUUUUUUUUAAAAAUUCAUUAAAUGGAAAAAUCCCCAAAUGUUAUUUCUGGUAGAUUUCUUAGAAAUUAGGGCAGAGGAGCAUGCUCGGUCUUCCCACCCUCAUCAGGCAUCAGUGACAGCUACUUGAACAACUGAGCCCCUAAUGUGCAUGCUCCCCCACCCCUGAGCCAGUCUCUGCCCUCCUAUUCCCUCCUCUUGCUGCCAGGAUGCUGAUCGCCACCAACUGGCCUCUGGGUGAUUUGGCCAAUGGAAGGCACCGGUAGAGGGAAGAGAGUGAGGUUAGGAUAUUUCUUCCUGCUGUCUCCCUGCUUCCCUGCAGAGAGUGUGAAGAAAUGACCCUGAAAAGCCUCUGGCAGAGGAUUCUUCUUUCAGGAUGGUGCCUCCUGCUCAGCGGCCCAUCCUCCUCCCCUGGGCUCAAGCUCUCACUCCAGUAACACUCCUUCCUCCUUCUCCAUCUUGAGGGGGAGGUUUGCCAGUCAGUGGGUUCUAAGCAUAUCUCGCUGAUUCCCCCCUGACCCUGCCAACACCUCUGUAGGUUGUCCCUUCAUUAAAAUCUCUCCAUUUGAACUAUCUGAGUUUAAUUCCAUUUCCUCCUGGCAUCUCAGUGAUACACGGUAUCAGUACAAAAAUCUCACUUCACCUUCAGAACCAACAGAUUUGAGACAUUUUAUCCUCUGUGGAACCAUUAGUUAUUUCGUCAUUGGUUGUAUCAGAAAAAAAAAUCAGGAAUGCAAACCCUUCUUUAUUACAAAUUCAGAUUUGCAUAUUACCAAUGUUAUAUAUUUUAAACAAAGCUAUUCAUCAUAAGUUUUAAAAAUUAACUACUGGAAUAGUUAAUGAAUCUGAAUGUAAUUAUGUAGCUUUCAUAAUAUUAAAGUAGAAAUACUAAAAGAAGUAUUUCUUAAAGAAGCAAAUGCUCAAUCUCCAAGUAAAUUUUAUUCUAUGCUCUUCCAGUAUAAGAAUAUGUUAAUAUCUUGAGAAAUGUCGUAUUAUUUUGUGAACUCAUAAAGCUAUUUUGAGUUUUUGUAAAAUGAAAACCUUACCAAAAUGUGUUUUAUUAUUGGAAAGCUUGACCAUUACUGCUAUUUAAUUUUUUGAGCAUGUAAACUUUAUUUGUGCAUGUUUUCAACAAAGAAGGAUUUUAUUGUUAUUACAUAAAAUAGGUGAUUUCUAGAUUUUAAAAUCACAAAUUGAAAGCAAGGCACAAUAAAGUGUAUUUCAAGAUAUAGGUACUUAGGAGGCAUCCUUUUAGUCAUCCGUUCAGUGUCGCCAUCUAUUUUACACCUACUGUCUACUAUUGUUUGAGGUCCUUGCCAAAGUAUUGCAGGCUCGUUAGGAAACAUAAAACAAUUAGAAAGUAAUCUUUGACAAGUAAGCUAUCUAUAAAUGGCAGUGAGGGGUAGAAUACAUUCAAUGAAAAUAUCUAUUUAAUCCUAGUAUUUACUGGUCUAGAAGAAUAGGCUGAGUAAAUUAGUAUUUCUCUGGCUGUGGUGGUAACACAUUGCAUGCUAUAACAGUUUUAAGUAAUUACAGGUACAUUGAAAUUUAUCUAUGGCUUUGUCAUCAUAUUCUAAAAUGUCAUGAGUACUUUUUUCUGACCUCAAUUACUAUGAAAUUGGUUUCCAAUGUUUAAUUAACCAAGAAUAUCAAGAUUAUAGUGUAUUAUUAAGGUGAGACUUCUGUAGCCUUUUCAAUAAAGACCAGAAUUUUGGAGUGCCUUGAACCUUAAUCAUUGAUCCUUAAUUCUUAUUAAGUCAACUGCCUACCUUUUAAAGACUGAGGCCCAGGAAGAGUAAGUUUCUCAGACAAUGCAUACAGUACAGUGCUUCUUGGGUAUUGGCUCUAAGACUAGAUGCAAAGAAGGGCUAAAAUCCCAUUUCAUUGCUCACUAGGUGAGAACCCUUUGUUAAGCUGUGUAACCUCUGUGCAUAGUUUCCUCAUCAGCAAAGUCAGAAAAAGUAUGUACCUGAAGGACUGAUUGUAAGGCUGGGAUGAGAGAAUCCAUGUGAUCAGCCCUCACCAACAGGUGCUGCCCAGUUCAUGAGUGCUGCUGUUGUCCUGCCCAAGUACCCAGCUUGUAGAGUGCUGGAGUUAGAGUCCCAGGGGUGUUCUCCACAGCUGCAUGCUUGAUCCAGGCCUAUCAGCUUUUUCACACAAGUGACACGAAUUCUGGGCAAUUAAAAGGACACGAAUUUCAAGGCAUUUACGAAGAGAAUGUGUUUUCUAAUAGCUGUGCCUUUUACCAAGUUGUGGUUUUUGAGAAAAGCAUUGUCGAUUUCAGACCUCCACCUUCAGAAACUGCACUGUCUUUGAAUAUUAGCAAGUAAUGGAACAUGGGCCAAGGGUGAACCAUGACGAAUUCGUGUUCCAGCAGCCCUGCUUCUUUAGAAUUGACAGUCUGGCUUCUUGGUUAAUUCACAGCAUCUGAGGAAUACAUCAGAAGAGGGUGAUACUGUGGCAUGAUAGUACCAGGAUUCCAAGUUCAUUCCAGCCCUCCAUGGGGGAGCAGAAGGUUCCACCCACGGGAUGACUUCAGAUGAACGCUUUUGAUGCUGGGAGCAGCAGCCACCCAUAGCUCCAGAUACCUGUUCCUCUGACUCUGCCUCCUUGGAUUUUACAGUUACCAACAGUUCAUGAUGAUCUUCAGAAAUGUUCACAGUUUUAGAGGAGCCACAUACUUGAAUGUUUAAAGAAAGCAAUAUUUUACAAAACACAAGGAUGAUCGAAGAGAGCCACAGGAGGAUCUAGCAGCUCUUUGUCGGGAAAUGAAGAUUCAUAGACUAUCCGUUGGGGAACCCUCAUCCUCACAGGAUGUAUGUUCAUGGUGGUGUCUUCGAGUUUGUGCCAUUGUGAAGCAUUCUGUCAGCAAGCAUCUGAACACUUCCAAAAAGGGGCAAUAUUUAGGAGAAAUCGCUCGGCCUGAGUUAGAACAAAUGCAGCUGCUGGUGUCUCUUGGUGCCUGGGAGCCCUAGAGUGUCAGAGGGAGGAGCGUGCACACUGGAACCAGCAGCCUGGUGCUGCGUCUCAGCUCUGUCGCUAACUGGCUAUGCACCUCUGGGCAUGGCACUUAACCCUUCUGAGCCCCAGCCUGCCAUCUGUAAAAAGGGCUUGAUGCGAGGAUUGAAUGAGAUCAUGCAGGAAACACAAUGUCUGGCACUUGGAAGCAUCCACCAUAAACAGCCAAGGCAGUAAAUGGCCCAUCUGGGUUUGGUCCGUGCAGAGUUUACCCUCUGCCCUGGCGGCUCCAGGAAAUACUGCCAUGUGGCUCCUAUUGCCUCAACCACAUCCGACCUGUUCCUGACAGCUCCCAACAUCUCCAGCUCCUUUGCUGGUGCUCCAGGCACCUCCAAACGUGGCGAGCCCCUCUCCUCUGCCCUCUUGUGACAGCUGACCUGGCAGGAGUGGGACCAAGACAUCCAAGGCGGCUCCUUCCCACCUGCAUGGGCACUUUCCUUAGGACAUCCUUGCCCCCAGCACCACCUUGGGCCAGCAAGCCGUAUGGAAAUGGAUGCAGAGGCACCACUGUUUGCUGACAGUUAUACCCUGUCCUUAAGGUCACCCUUGGCGAUCUGUCACCAGGAGCAGACAAACCCGCACCGCAUCCAUCCCAUCAGAGCUUGUUUCUACCUGCAUCUGUCAUCGCUGAUCGCAUUUGAAUGGGUUUAGUCUCUAUUUUAAAUAAAAGAUUUAUGCCUUA